CUCUCUCACACGCGCCUUCAACAGAGAGUAGUCAGUCAGGGAGGGUGAGUUUCAGUUGGUUUCUUUAGCUCCUGUCUAUAUCAGCGCCCAGUGGUGAAUCUUGCCAGGAGAGGUGGUGACCUGAGAAAAGUCAUUCCUGUAUUCCAUCAACCAGACAAUCUGCUUGCGGUUGGAUAGCAUUGAAGCCAAAUUGCAAGCCCUGGAGGCUACUUGUAAAUCCUUAGAAGAAAAGCUGGAUCUGGUCACGAACAAGCAGCACAGCCCCAUCCAGGUUCCCAUGGUGGCCGGCUCCCCUCUCGGGGCAACCCAGACGUGCAACAAAGUGCGAUG
rnacentral:sRNA from 1 species